AGAAAAAGUAAAAAAGAGGAAAUUGGAGUCGUCUUCUUCUUCGUGAAAGCCUAGCAGCCCACUCUUCUUCAAAAUUUUCUCGCCGACCUCCCCUCCUGCCGCAAUCUCUCUAUCUCUCUCCACUGCCAACGCCAGCAACUACUGCGACUAAACGCCGACUAGCCAAAUGCACAGCCACCGACUCUCAUCGCUUGGGAUUGAAGUUACUUGUCGAUCUGUGUGGUACUUCAUCCCUUCUUCGAUUAGCCACUGUUUGUCGACUGAAAACCAUCCACCACUCUUGGCCGUUGGAUUUGUUCGUUGUGCAUGCUGCUGAUUGGCUGACAAGACCUUAGGAUUUUGUUAUAAGAGUAAAUGUCCAAGAGUUCUGCUAGAUCCGAGUAGUUUAAAGUUAUAGUUUUAUCAGUGCUGGUCGUUGUAUCUUGCUGAGAUGAUCGUUGAUGUCUGCUUGCAAGUCUGUGCAGAGCGAAUAAUAUUUUCAAGAUAACGCUUAUCAGAGCUUGCCUCGACUACAGUUUGAGUAUACAAAAGUUUUGAGGUUCUUUCAAGUAUUUGAUUGUUUUCAUAUAUAAGCCUUAUUAUAUGUCAUCUAACUUUAACUGUAUUUGUUUCCAAUUGAGUUGUAAUCAGUUUGCUAGUGUAUUCAUUUCAUAUUAUAUUCAAAA